CUUCUGCCCCAGGCACUAUGAGACCAACCAACCGAACCAGCCUUUGAAGACCCCGGUUAAUCGCUGGGAGAGCGUGUGAAUGACAGCCGACACACCUCAACGGAGGCGAAGGAAGGAAGGAAGGAAGGUGGGCGUGGACCGGCCGUUUUCCCUCGAGCCGCGCGACCAUCUUUCAAGGCCGCUUCUUCCCGGGGGGGGGCGCUUAUCUGGACGAGCCCCCCUCCAAGUGAAAUCACUGCCAAGAUUCAGAGCCCUCCCAGUGACGUCAUCCAAGACCCCCGCCUCGGGCGCGAGAAAAGCGGUGGGCCACUAAGGAGGCCUCGCGCCCACCCAUUCGCCCGAGCAGAAGGCGCCUCCAGGCAGGCCCGAGUCCCACCUUGGCCUUCUAUGAGGGGAAAACACCGCCUGGAAUGGGUGUGAGAGAGAGAGAAAGAGAGGGAAACCCCCACCCCGCCGCCUCAAAAGGGACAAAACUAUCCCCAGCCUCGGGCCUUCCUAGUCCGGCUUCUCUCACCUUACCUUAGCCACGUAGUCUUUCACCUCGUCCAGGUCGCCGUUUUUGAGGGCCCACAUGAACUCCUUGUCGGACAUAGCGGCGGCCGCCCUGACCGGGACUCGGCGCCAAAGGCCACGAUUCAGACUCCAACAGGGGCAUGACAGAAGAUGAGAGAAGGCCGCUCCGCUGGUAUGAACAUCAUGUCCUGAGAGCAGCACCUUCCACCUACCAACUAGAAGUCAAUGGCUGGCAAGCCUUGCGGGCGUCCAAAACAGAUGGCAAGACACUAUCAACAAAGAUAUGCAAGUCAUGGACCUGCAUAUAUCCCUGGAGAUGCAGCUGAUUGUGCAAAGUGGCUUUCAAUGAUCCGAAAAGCGGACCUUGCACUUGCGGGAAUACGCUAGGAAGAAGAAGAACAAAAACAAAUACUCUAUUCAGUGUUAAAUGUAGUCACUCUUAUAUAAAUAUUACAAAUUUAUAUAUUUGAAUGUAACCAUAUUAUUAGCAGAAGAUGCCAUUAAUGCUAAGUCUCAUUAAUAAAAGAUAACUCUGUGAA